UACGUAGGGGGCAAGCGUUGUCCGGAUUUAUUGGGCGUAAAGAGCGUGUAGGCGGCCUGACAAGUCUGCUGUGAAAACUCGAGGCUCAACCUCGAGAUGUCGGCGGAAACUGUCUGGCUAGAGUCCGGAAGAGGAGAGUGGAAUUCCUGGUGUAGCGGUGAAAUGCGCAGAUAUCAGGAAGAACACCUAUGGCGAAGGCAGCUCUCUGGGACGGUACUGACGCUGAGACGCGAAGGCGUGGGGAGCGAACAGG
rnacentral:rRNA from 1 species